CAGUAGCCGCGGUAAUACGAAGGGUGCAAGCGUUAAUCGGAAUUACUGGGCGUAAAGCGUGCGUAGGCGGUUCGUUAAGUCUGUUGUGAAAGCCCCGGGCUCAACCUGGGAAUGGCAAUGGAUAUUGGCGAGCUAGAGUGUGUCAGAGGAUGGUGGAAUUCCCGGUGUAGCGGUGAAAUGCGUAGAGAUCGGGAGGAACAUCAGUGGCGAAGGCGGCCAUCUGGGACAACACUGACGCUGAGGCACGAAAGCGUGGGGAGCAAACAGGAUUAGAUACCCCCGUAGUCCCUGUCUCUUAUAC
rnacentral:rRNA from 1 species